rnacentral:rRNA from 1 species
GUGGAUUAGAUACCCUAGUAGUCCACGCCGUAAACGAUGUCAACUAGCCGUUGGAGGGCUUGUCCUUUCAGUGGCGUAGCUAACGCGAUAAGUUGACCGCCUGGGGAGUACGGCCGCAAGGUUAAAACUCAAAUGAAUUGACGGGGGCCCGCACAAGCGGUGGAGUAUGUGGUUUAAUUCGACGCAACGCGAAAAACCUUACCCGGUCUUGACAUCCUGGGAACUCGCUAGAGAUAGCUUGGUGCCGCAAGGAGCCCAGAGACAGGUGCUGCACGGCCGUCGUCAACU